UACGUAGGGUGCAAGCGUUAAUCGGAAUUACUGGGCGUAAAGAGCUCGUAGGCGGUCUGUCGCGUCGGCUGUGAAAACCCGGAGCUCAACUCCGGGCCUGCAGUCGAUACGGGCAGACUGGAGUUCGGCAGGGGAGACUGGAAUUCCUGGUGUAGCGGUGAAAUGCGCAGAUAUCAGGAGGAACACCGGUGGCGAAGGCGGGUCUCUGGGCCAAAACUGACGCUGGGGAGCGAAAGCGUGGGGAGCGAACAGG
rnacentral:rRNA from 1 species